UUAAUAAGAAGCAAUUUUGCAUUUAGUUUCGACCUAAAAGUUAGAUUUAAUUUAAAUCCUUAUUU
rnacentral:tRNA from 1 species